UGCGGGGUAGAGCAGUCUGGUAGCUCGUCGGGCUCAUAACCCGGAGGUCGCAGGUUCGAAUCCUGUCCCCGCUA
rnacentral:tRNA from 9 species